CAGCCAGGAGGAAACAGGCAGGCAGAGAGACAGAGACUGCGUGUCCUUUCCAGAGCAUCAGCAGGGCCUUCCCAGGGUCUCCAGAUGGGCCAGCGCCCUGCAGACCCCAGGGAAGGGAAUGGCUGGAGCCCAGACGCCCAGUGUGCAGCCCUGGCCCCUGCUUUCCUCUGAGCUACGGCAUCACUGAGUACCGUCCCAAACUGUGUUGUGAGCACCCACGUUUCUUCCUUUGGCUGCAAGGGCCUGUCUUUUCAUUUCCAUCCGGCACAAUUUCCUAGAUGCUUCCUCCACCACGAAGCCUGGCCUGAGCCUGCCCUAGCGCACUGCAUGUCCUCUGGGCCACCAUACCUUGUUAGUUCUGCUCACUGCUUGCCUCCGUCCUCCCCGGUGCAUCCGUUAACUCUAAAGCUAGGCUGCUCAGGCCACUCUGAAGACGAUCCCUUUCUCUCUGGACUCUGUCCACCCAGCCUAACUUGAAAGACAUCAAAUCCACCCAAAGUAGCUUCAGGAGACUCUACAAUGACUUUGCUUGUGAUGCAAGUAAGACCUAGACCCUACUAACCAUGGAAGGCUUGCAGACAAGGUGAUUCUUUCCGGAAGCUUCCCCAGAAAUGGACAAAAGCUCAGCAACUUUGUCACAGGAUGUAUCAGCACCAUGCUUCAUUUGGGAUCAGAAUGUCUUGGGUAGCCCAUAUCUGCUCUGAGGGCUGGACAGUUCAAGAGAGCACUGAGACAUUCUGACCAGCCAGGAGUUUAGGGACUUGGAUGCCAUAGACUGAAUAUCUGUCUUUUGUCCCCAAAGUCAUGUUAGUUCCUGAUGUCCAGUGGGAUGGUAUUUGGAGGUGGGGCCUUUUUAGGAGGUGAUCAGGUCAUGAAGGUGGACCCCUCAUAAAUGGGAUUAGUGCCCUUAUAAAAGAAACCCCAGAGAUCUCCCUUACCCAUUCCAUCGUGUGAGGUUACAAUGAGAAGACAGCUAACUCUGAACCAGGAAGAGAAUUCUCACUAGACGCUGACUCUGUCAACACCUGGAUCUUGCACUUCCCAGCUUCCAGAAGGGUGGAGAAAUAAACACCUGGUGUUUAUAUGCCACCCCGUCUAUUGCAUUUCUGCUACAGCAGGCAAAUGGACGAAGACGGUUGAGAGCUAGAGGUGACCUUGGAGUUGGAGACCUCCCUGGCUGCGGGGCUGGUGCAACCCAGGGGCUCGGCUUCUGUGACGGCACUUCAUCUGCCUCUCUGCUUAUAUCCCAGCUGCAGUUCUUGCCUUGGGCUUUAGUCGUCUCAGACUGACUGGGCAUUUUCUGGAUAUGCCAGGUCCCUCCCUGGCCCCAGGUCCUUGAACAUACCUUACCUCCACCUGACACUCCUUUCCCCCGCUUUUUCCCUUUGGCUAAAUUCUCCUAGAUAAAGUAUAGCCCCAUCUGCCAUCACCUCCUUAGACAGGUUGGGUGUCCCUUCCUAUACUUGCUGGCUGACUCUGUGGGUCAAUUCCCUUGUCUGUCACCCCCAGUGGGAUCCUUGAUGACAGAGCUAUCCACUGACUUACAUGAAACAUCUAUGGGCACUUACUUGGCUGACUUGCCUGAGGUCACACAGCCAAUAAGUGGUCAACGGGAGAGUAGCUCCUGUGUCCUAUGGCUUGAACUGGGUUGAGUAGCGUCUCCCCAAAUUCACACCCAUGCAGAAACUCAGAGCAUGACCCUCUUUGGAUAGAGGGUCUUUGCAGAAAUAACUUCAUACAGUGAGGUCAUGUUAGCUCUAAAUCCAGGGACUGGUGUCCUUAUGAGGAGAGAAAACAGAGACGCACAGAGGGAAGAAGGAUGGCCCUGAUCAUGGGUAGAGAUUGCAGUGAUGUAGCUAGGAGCCAGCGGUACCAGCAGAGGUUACGAAGAGGCACAGAAGGAUUCUCCCCUCAAGCCUUCAGAGGUGGGGUGGCCCUGUUUGAUUUCAGACUUCUGGCAUCUGGUACCGUGAGAGAAAAAAAAAAAUCUCUGUUGUUUUUAGCCACCCGGUUUGUGGUCAUUUGUUACGGCAGCCACAGGAAAGUAAUAAAGUACUUCGCAGAGAGUGAAGGGAGUGGUUUCUCUAGGGGCUGUGGCAUCCCCACCCUUUCCCAGGAUGGGGGAGACGGCCAGGAGGCCUGCUUUCCCUGGAAGCUCUGCCCAGUGAUGGGCGUGGUGGGAGAUUCCCAGGCUGCUCACACACUGCACAGGCCUGCCAGUUCCUUCACAAGAUGGCAUUUUGGGAGCGACAUGGUGCUGGGCACCAGACAGGAGACUGGGGCACCUUCCAGGCAGCUGGACUUUGGGAAGACCCAAAGCACCCACUCACUGCCUCUAUUUUCCUUUUUAACAAAUGGGGCCUCUAGGGGAACAUGAGCCAGGCACUGUUCUAGGUCCUGAGGGUACAAUAGGCAAAGAGGUUGACCACAGUCUCUGU